rnacentral:rRNA from 1 species
GGAAUCUUCCACAAUGGGCGAAAGCCUGAUGGAGCAACGCCGCGUGUGUGAUGAAGGGUUUCGGCUCGUAAAACACUGUUGUAAGAGAAGAAUGACAUUGAGAGUAACUGUUCAGGUAUUGACGGUAUUUAACCAGAAAGCCACGGCUAACUACGUGCCAG